GACGAACGCUGGCGGCGUGCUUAACACAUGCAAGUCGAGCGAUGAAGCACCUUCGGGUGUGAAUUAGCGGCGAACGGGUGAGGAACACGUGAAGAAUCUGCCUUCAACUCUGGGAUAACUCCGGGAAACCGGGGCUAAUACCGGAUAUGAGACUUGAUCGCAUGAUCGGGGCUGGAAAGUUUUUCGGUUGAAGAUGACUUCGCGGCCUAUCAGCUUGGUGGUGAGGUAAUGGCUCACCAAGGCGACGACGGGUAGCCGGCCUGAGAGGGCGACCGGCCACACUGGGACUGGGACACGGCCCAGACUCCUACGGGAGGCAGCAGUGGGGAAUAUUGGGCAAUGGAGGAAACUCUGACCCAGCGACGCCGCGUGAGGGAUGAAGGCCUUCGGGUUGUAAACCUCUUUCAGUAGGGAAGAAGCGAAAGUGACGGUACCUACAGAAGAAGCACCGGCUAACUAUGUGCCAGCAGCCGCGGUAA
rnacentral:rRNA from 1 species